rnacentral:rRNA from 1 species
GGCGUAAAGAGCUCGUAGGCGGUUUGUCGCGUCUGCCGUGAAAGUCCGGGGCUUAACCCCGGAUCUGCGGUGGGUACGGGCAGACUAGAGUGCAGUAGGGGAGACUGGAAUUCCUGGUGUAGCGGUGAAAUGCGCAGAUAUCAGGAGGAACACCGAUGGCGAAGGCAGGUCUCUGGGCUGUAACUGACGCUGAGGAGCGAAAGCAUGGGGAGCGAACAGGAUUAGAUACCCUGGUAGUCCAUGCCGUAAACGUUGGGCACUAGGUGUGGGGGACAUUCCACGUUUUCCGCGCCGUAGCUAACGCAUUAAGUGCCCCGCCUGGGGAGUACGGCCGCAAGGCUAAAACUCAAAGGAAUUGACGGGGGCCCGCACAAGCGGCGGAGCAUGCGGAUUAAUUCGAUGCAACGCGAAGAACCUUACCAAGGCUUGACAUGUUCCUGACCGCCGUAGAGAUACGGUUUCCCCUUUGGGGCAGGUUCACAGGUGGUGCAUGGUUGUCGUCAGCUCGUGUCGUGAGAUGUUGGGUUAAGUCCCGCAACGAGCGCAACCCUCGUUCCAUGUUGCCAGCACGUAGUGGUGGGGACUCAUGGGAGACUGCCGGGGUCAACUCGGAGGAAGGUGGGGACGACGUCAAAUCAUCAUGCCCCUUAUGUCUUGGGCUUCACGCAUGCUACAAUGGCCGGUACAAUGGGUUGCGAUACUGUGAGGUGGAGCUAAUCCCAAAAAGCCGGUCUCAGUUCGGAUUGGGGUCUGCAACUCGACCCCAUGAAGUCGGAGUCGCUAGUAAUCGCAGA